GCCCUUGUGGCCUAGUGGCUAAGGCAUCAGACUUCUAAUCUGAGGAUCCAGGGUUCAAAUCCCUGCUCGGGCU
rnacentral:tRNA from 1 species